rnacentral:lncRNA from 1 species
AGAAACAACCUCAGAAUAGAAAGCAUUCCCUUAAGUGAAAUCGUGGUAGCUUAAAACUGAUAUACAACUCCCCAAUAUUAGACUUGACUGGCUUUAAAAAGAUAAGCAAGUGAAGUUAGUGACCAUGCCCAUAACCCAAUACUGAAAGGCUUGGGUGCAAGACUCUGAGCUUGAGGCCAGACUAGGCCACAUUAGAGAAACUGUCUCAGACUAAAAGUAAUGAAAUAAAUUAUGUCCAUAUUAAAUUUGUUUGGCAUAUCGAAUUUGUCCAGAAUUAUUUGUUUUCCCAAAGAAUAGCGAAACUUUAUCACAAACUAGCAACUCUCCUCAAACUUCUACCGCCUGUAAAUAAAUAAUUAUGAAAGAGCAACUGUGUGCAAAAGCAUAGGACAUUACUGCUUCACAGCAGAGCCCAUUAGGACUAAAGAUCUCAUUGUGUUCAUAAAAACAGCUGGAUUUCUCUGAGCUUGUUUGUUUGUUUGCUUAUUGGGGGAUGGCCGUCGCUGUCGUGGCACUCAAUAUGCAGAACAGGCUGACCUGAACUUAGAGAUCUGACUACCUCUGCAUCCUAAGUGUGGGGAUUAAAGAUGUGGACCACCACACCUGACUCUUGUUAAUCUUUUAAUGAUUCUGCUCAUUGUUGAGCUGCCAAAAAGGAAAAAAAAAUCAAUAGUGACAAACUGAAUGAAGUAACUGAAAAAUAUAAUUCUUACCACUUCCAUCUAUUCUGGUAAUUUGUGUUUUCAGGUUUCCUGCCAGUGAAGGAUUGCAUAAGUGUCUGAUGUUUGCAUCUGCCAGUUACAGUUUUGAAAAGUAAUGACAGUCAACGUGUAAUAGCUCAACACACACCAUUAAUUCCAGUGUUGAGGUCUCCAGUAGUUACAGCUGACCACCUUUAAUAAAUGACCAGGAAGAUACUUGUCAAAUUCACAGCUUUUGUGAAGUUAAGGGACAUCAACUUAGUUUGCAUCAACUAAGGGACAGGUGCUAGCCCAGGACUGCAGGAGCAGGUUACUCAAUCUUUUUCAAGUGCUCCUCGCCAUUUAAAAACGAAUACUUGAGGGAGGUCAGUCCUGCCUCUUAGCACACAUUUCAGAAUUGUUGCAUCAUCUAAAAAAAACUCCUCAACAUGCAGGAAUGUGUAAUUUUCGCCAACUCCAAGCUUCAUCUCUUCAAAGACCAAGCUGACCAAAACCUGCCACCUAACACACACAUCACAGCUGGAAGUGUGUCCUAUGGGAAGGAAGAGGACUAUCUGAGAUUUUUUGUUGUUGUUUGUUUGUUUGUUGUUGUUGUUGUUUUAAAUGUAGCCCAGGAUGACCUGAAAGUCAAAAUCCUGUUUCUGUUUCCCCAGUGCUAAAUUACAUUUCGAACCCUUGCCUUCUCCCCACUAUCCAAGUGACAACCUUUAUCAUUAUACAUAUACACAUGGGGUGUGUGUGUGUGUGUGUGUGUGUGUGUGUGUGUUGGGGAGAGGGGUACCAUGGCAGGCUUCUUGAUCAGAUGACAACUUUGUGAAGUAGAUUCUGUCCUUCCAUCUUACAUGACUUCUAGGCAUUGAAUUCUGAUCAUCAAGUUUGAACAGGAAAACCUUUAGACACUGAGCCAGCUUGUUGCUUUCCUAAAUAGUAUUUUGUUUAAAGAUUUAUGUUUGAUUAUUUUUAUAAGUUCUGUGUAAACUUGGAGGAGGUAUAAGCAUGCGAGUGUCAGGAGUCCAUGAAGGCCAGGCAUGCCAAAUCUCUCUGGGGCUGAAGCGACAGGCAGUUGUGAACACCCAGUGUGGAUCCUGGGAACAGAACUCAGGUCCUCUUGUAAGCACAUUACGUGCUCUUGGACUAUUGAGCUACCUCUCCAGACCUUGACUCCCAUGACACUUUCUUGUUAUAUUUUCUUGUAUUUUAAAUUCUGUGUCUAUGUGCUAGUAUCUGUGUGAGUACAUGGGUGCAGGCGCCCAUGGAAGUCAGAGACAUCGAAUCCCCUGAAACUAGAGUAAAAGCAGUUGGGAGCCACCUGACCUGAGUGCUGGGAACUCAACUCAGGUCUUCUGCAAGAGCAAUACAAGCUGUUAACUAUUGAGCCAUCUCUCCAACCCCUCAGCUGAAACUUUGAAAGGACACUGCAGCCUUAUGGAGGAAGACAUAAUAUAUAGUUUGAUGGAUAAAACAUAUAGAAUUGCUUUGAAUAUAACUGAUCAAUUGGUAUGGGAUUUAUGUUUAUGAUGUAGUUAAUUAAUGAAGCCUAAUGUAGAAGGUAAAUGUGUGGCAGGCAUCACAAUGUUCAGCUAUGUGUGAACCCUGCAAACUACAGUAGUGCACUGAAAGUGUCAAGAGAGGUAGAGAGGUGAGCUAAGCCCAAUUCAUACAAGGCCUGUGAUAAACUGUAUAGAAGUUCAGUUUCAUUGCAACUAUGGAGGGAAGCUAUCAAGGUGUUUUGUUGUUAUUUUUGUUUCUGUUUUUUCUAAACGGGAACAUUUUAUUCACAUUAAUAAAAGCCCAGAAUCUUUUAUCUUUCUGGAUCAUCCUUACUGUAUUUCUUCUCAAUGAUCACAAGAUGACCAUUCCACAAGAAAGUGAUAACCAGUUUGGCUAGUUUUGUCUUCUUUUAAAUAUAAUAUUUCAUUACUUCUUUGAGAAUUUGCUAUGUAUUUUGAUCAUGUCCACCCCUCUCUUUCCUCCAACUCCCCAGAUCCACCUUCUCCUUCCUCUGCUUUAUGUUCUUUUUUAAACUUUAUAUUGAUCAUUUGUGAAUGUCAUGUCAUGCACCCCAGGGCCACUCAUCUCUCAGUCCCUUCCCAACCACCCUCUGCCUUUGCAGCCUCCCCCCCCCC